AUGGAAAUCCGAGACAGAGAAUGGACUGUGGAAUGCUGAGGGCUGAGCAGCUAGCCAGAGGAAAAUAUGUCCUCCACAACUAGAAUCACAACUAAAUGUUCCUGAGGAUUUUACAAGUGGCACCAAAGGCAAGAAUUUGGUCAGACAUGCCAAUCCAGAUUAGAGGAAAUGGAACGCAGAGGAGCUGGACAUCCUCACCUCUCAUGGUCUGCAAGUCUUUGAUUCCCCUUCUCCUCCUCCUCCUUCCAAACCCCUCCAACACUCUUGAACAUAUCUCUGACUUCUGUUUAUCUUACACUUGCUGACAAAUCUCCUUGGAAGCUGGUGGUCCAUUUAGCCAUGCCACAGCCAUAUCAUGGCCCCCAAGACACACCACAGCAUUGUAAGGGCCCCGAAGAAAACAUAUCAUAAAAUUAGAUAAAGCUGGAUAUUUGUAAGUAAAAUUUUAAAAAUCCCUUGUUUGGUUAAAACAAUGCAGAUUUGAUUUCAUUUACUUCUAAGCUCUUUAACUGAAUUGAGCAUAUUUGUAUUUUCCCAAAUUCAGUAGAUUAGACUUGAAUCUCUCAUCCCAUAAACAGGGAUGCCCCAAAUGAGUCUCAAUGAUUACUGUAUGUUGCUGUGGCCGCAAAUUCACCUUCCAUUAUGUUGGACUGACAUUCAAACUGUUCUGGACAAAAUGCCAGUACUCUUUCUAAAACCAGUGUAAUCAUGAUGUGUUGAGAUAUACCUUCAACAGGUAGCCGAUGAGUCCUAGCUUUCUGGAGUUGUUGCACUCUGCUGCUGGGUUUCAACUUCCCCUCCCAUCCCAGGCACUGCGGGUGGUUUUGCCUCGGUUUUGAAUUCAUUUGGUUUUGAGCACUUGUGGAGUCUUGUUUCAUGUCCCUGGGGAUCGUUAGUGACAUCCUGGGUGUGGAGUGCUGGGGGAUAUCUGUUACCAAGCUGUGGUCUCUUUCUCAGCGUAGUAGUUAGAACCGUUGGUCAGUAAAUGGGCUUUCAAAAAGCCUCAGGGCUUUGUAAUUCUACAAAUGGUAUAAAACAGGCCCCUUUGGAGCGAUUCUGCAGCACUGCCCGCUAAAAGUUAAGGGAAAUGACUGGCUCUGUGUCCAGAAGGGAAUGAGUGUUGGAUGUUUUAUCCCCUGAUUGGAUGUACAGAAGCUGGCCUUGAUAUGCAGCUGAGGUCCCUGUUGGCCUCAGAAGCUCCAAAAACAUCUUAGCUAGGAAUGAUGUGAAGUCAGGGCUCCUAGCGGGGUGCUCCCCAGGCCUUCUGGAGCAGUGUUUCAAUGGGCCUUUAUAGUCUGGCUGCCAUGUAAUCUAUUGAGGCUUUGAAAACAUUAAUGCAGCCUCUGAAAGGGUCCAGCACAAAGGAGGGGUGGAGGUGCCACCAACAGGAAAAAAAGGGCCUGCUUCCUUGCUUCUCAGACCUCCAUCACCAGUGAUCCAGAAGAAUGAGUUCCUUACCUGGGACUGUGCUGGAAAGCUUUGACCUCUAGUUUCUAUUUUUGCUUUUAGUGGGUAACUGCUGCUAAACCCAGUGUCAAAUAGGCCUUUCAGAAAUGCAAAGAAGGAUUUAGUG
rnacentral:lncRNA from 1 species